GUGUCAGUUACUCAUCUCAAAGAUCUAAGUCCAAAUGAAGAAGUUUGAAGCUCCGGGACCUGCUUGCGUGUUCUCAGGGAGUGUCUUUCCAGCAAACACUUCCCACUCUGUGUCCUGACUGGUGUUGUCCAUACCUGGAUGAGGGCCCGCUUCUCAGUAGCGAGAUCGUACCCUUUGUUAAAACCAAGGCUGUGGAAAAUAAGUCCGCUGAACAAUGCUUGCUGGGGAUACAGCAGUCAUGCCAACACUGCCUAAGUGAGAAAGUCCCUGUUAUGUCUCUGCUCAGGUAAUUUUCUGUGGCUGGCAAUAUAAAAGACAGAACCAAACCCAUACAAUCCAGAAGCCUGAAAACAAAUUCCUCAACCCGCCGGGACGUGGUGUAACCUAGAGUCUGAACGAGGGACUGGGCUGUGGCAACGACCGCGGGAGGAGCGGAGCAGACCCGAUCCUCCCAACCAUAGGCUCUCAUAACACGUCACCCCGUUACGGCUUGGCGAGGCAGCAGGCUUCGCGAGGAGCUGUGCUUUAAACUCACAGGGCAGUUUAAUGUAAGAGCCAACUCCGACCUCACAUCUGUUUUAAUUUAGAUCCUCAUUUAUUGUAGAAGUCAUGAAAUACUCAACAAAAUUUAAGCUCGGCGUUUGAUUAAAUGCCCACCAAUUUACCCACAUUCCCUGUACAACGUGAGCCUGGAUUUUACCUGAGCCGGUGAAGAAUUGCAUCGGCCAGUUUCAUCACCUUUUCCCUUGUCAGUGCCCAUGGGGAGCCGUCUCGGGUAGGAUCUGUGUGCCGGCAGCCGAGUCGUCUAGUACGAGCCCCAGUCUUCUUUUGCAGUGUCGCUAGCUGGCUGACAGGCGAAGAUGACAAACGUUUGUUACCAGGACACCGCCGAGGACUGAUUGGUACCUUUCCCUGUGCAAUGCCAGCUCUGAGUGCCGACUGCGAUGCGAAUUUAGCCUCAACCUCUCCCCUGAAGUCCAGAAUUCCAACCUGCCGUCCCCACUGGGAUGCUCAGCAGACACCUCAACUCCAUCUUGCCUGUACUGGCUUCCCGAGGCUCCCUGGGCCGGCCCCACCGCAGCCUCCCUGCAGACCUCCACUGGCUCCUGCCCAAAGUGGCCCUUCUGACCUGAAUCCUACGCCGAUCAGAGAAUGAAGUGGAACGGAGAAGCUCCAAGAUUCCUGGCUUACAAGUGCCUCUCUGCACCUGCUCAGGGUGCCCAAUCUUUUGUCGGAGGCCCUCGACUCUUGGAGCCUCUUAGGAGCUCCUGACACGGAGGACCUUCAGUCAGGGCUAGGCGGGUGCAGACGAGGGCUCCUCACAGGGGUCAGGCCUGGUCAUGCCCUUUCUGACCUCCUCGGCCCCCCAGUCUCGACCUCCUCGCCACAUCCCCUGUGACCUUAAGCUCCACAUCUGCCACGAUUCGCUCACGAUGACCACCCCAGCGGCCAGGAGCCGAGGCCGGCUUGGGUCUUCCUCGGUUAUUGCAAUCGGUAGCGUUACAGUAAAUCAAACCAGGCUGCAGCCUCAGCAAUAAAGCUGAGACUUUGCUCCUUUGUCUUAUUUUUAGAUAUCCUUAAAUGCAGCGCCGUUCAUAACAGAAUGAGUGAAAUUCAUGAUGACUGUCUAGAGUUGGUAAAGCGCUAUUAGCUGAAAAGACCGGUUGCUUUCUCAAACUCUUAGCACGUGUCUG